rnacentral:tmRNA from 1 species
GGGGUCGACUGGUUUUGACAGCGAGAUCAAUUAAAUGGUAAGCACGUCGUGUAAUGACUUUGAAACACGUAAAAGGCUAGGUCAAACAUUUAAACGGCGAGAAUAACUACGCUUUAGCUGCAUAAUCCGAAUUAUAGUAGGAUUUGCCUAGGUACACAAGGUGUACAAGCUAAAUGUCUCCUGAAAGCCUUUAUUAACGGCGUUCGAAUAGAGGCAUCGUAAAAGUUAAUAUAGAAAGUAAAGCGCUUCGAUUUAUUUUUGAAACUAAAGAAGAUAAGUUGUAAGUAGGUUGUCUUUAACCAGCUUACAGUCGAAAACCCAAGAAAAGAAUAAACGUGUAGAAAGCUCUUUGGUGGCUUGUUUGGACCCGAGUUCGAAUCUCGGCGACUCCACAA